GAGUUUGAUCAUGGUUCAGGACGAACGCUGGCGGCGUGCCUAACACAUGCAAGUCGAACGGAGAAUUUCAAGAGGUAACUUGAGAAAUUCUUAGUGGCGGACGGGUGAGUAACGCGUGGGUAACCUACCCAACAGACCGGGACAACACUUGGAAACGAGUGCUAAUACCGGAUAACCUAUGACUCCGGCAUCGGAGAGAUAGGAAAGGUGGCCUCUAUUUAUAAGCUACCGUUGUAGGAUGGACCCGCGUCUGAUUAGCUAGUUGGUGGGGUAACGGCCUACCAUAGCGACGAUCAGUAGCCGGCCUGAGAGGGUGAACGGCCACACUGGGACUGAGACACGGCCCAGACUCCUACGGGAGGCAGCAGUGGGGAAUCUUCCGCAAUGGACGAAAGUCUGACGGAGCAACGCCGCGUGUAUGAUGAAGGCCUUCGGGUUGUAAAGUACUGUCAUUGGGGAAGAAUGGUCGCUAUGAAAAUAUUGUAGCGACAUGACGGUACCCAAGAAGGAAGCCCCGGCUAACUACGUGCCAGCAGCCGCGGUAAUACGUAGGGGGCAAGCGUUGUCCGGAAUCAUUGGGCGUAAAGGGCGCGUAGGCGGAUAGUUAAGUCCGAUGUGAAAUACCAAGGCUCAACCUUGGGGCUGCAUCGGAACUGGUUAUCUUGAGGACAGGAGAGGAAAGUGGAAUUCCACGUGUAGCGGUGAAAUGCGUAGAUAUGUGGAGGAACACCAGUGGCG
rnacentral:rRNA from 1 species